rnacentral:misc_RNA from 1 species
GCUCCGUUGGUGAACCAGCGGAGGGAUCAUUGCUGGAACUGUGUCCGCAAGGACACAACCCCAGAUACCCUUUGUGAACUUAUUCUUAUAUCGUUGCCUCGGCGCUGAGCUGGGGGCUUCUUUCCAAGGAGCUCUCCCAUGGUCUCUCGGGACGAUGGAGCAAGCCCGCCGGCGGCCCUUCUAAACUCUUGUUUUUAUUACGUAUCUCUUCUGAGUUAUUCAAAACAAAAUGAAUCAAAACUUUCAACAACGGAUCUCUUGGUUCUG